rnacentral:misc_RNA from 1 species
GAUGAAGAACGCAGCGAGAUGCGAUAAGUAGUGUGAAUUGCAGAAUUCAGUGAAUCAUCGAAUCUUUGAACGCACAUUGCGCCCCUUGGUAUCCCGAGGGGCAUGCCUGUUCGAGCGUCAUUUCACCACUCAAGCCUGGCUUGGUGUUGGGCGACGUCCCCUUUAGGGACGCGCCUCGAAACGCUCGGCGGCGCGGCACCGGCUUUAAGCGUAGCAGAAUCUUUCGCUUUGGAAGUCGGGGCCCCGCCUGCCGGAAUACCUACUUGUAAGGUUGACCUCGGAUCAGGCAGGGAUACCCGCUGAACUUAAGCAUAUCAAUAAGCGGAGGA